UACGUAGGGCGCGAGCGUUGUCCGGAAUUAUUGGGCGUAAAGAGCUCGUAGGCGGUUUGUCGCGUCUGCUGUGAAAUCCCGAGGCUCAACCUCGGGCUUGCAGUGGGUACGGGCAGACUAGAGUGCGGUAGGGGAGACUGGAAUUCCUGGUGUAGCGGUGGAAUGCGCAGAUAUCAGGAGGAACACCGAUGGCGAAGGCAGGUCUCUGGGCCGCAACUGACGCUGAGGAGCGAAAGCAUGGGGAGCGAACAGG
rnacentral:rRNA from 1 species